AGCUCCGCAAGCGUAUAUUAAAAUUGUUGCAGUUAAAAAGCUCGUAGUUGGACUUUUGGUCUAGAACUCUCCCAGCUCGGAGAUUACCCAGCGGCGCACUUUGUGUAAAGCUGAUGAUCAGGAAAGCAGGAUGCGGGGUCGACCAUUUCCUUUGUAGCGAUUUACUGCUUUGGCGAUAUUAUUUCGUCAUUGCAUAGCGAAGAGGUAUUACUUUGAAGAAAGAGGAGUGUUUAAAGCAGACGAACGUAGUGAACUUAUUAGCAUGGAAUGAUAACAUAGGACCUUUGGAUUAUUUGAUUGGUUUUGAAUCUGAAGGUAAUGAUUGAUACGGGUAAUUGGGGGUGCUAGUACUUUUUGGCCAGAGGUGAAAUUCUGUAACCCGAUGAAGACUGACUACUGCGAAAGCAUUCACCAAGGAUAUUUUGU
rnacentral:rRNA from 1 species